AUACAACACCGGUUAAAGAAUCGACUAUAUGUUAAUUCUCUAAUGCGAGGAAAUGAACCAAAUGACCGGAGCUCUGUUUUUGCAUAAGGAACCUCCCUUGUGAACCCAAACCUCUAAGGAAUGUUUAUCUUCAUAAGUAAUUUCCAUUAAUUUCUUUUUAGUUAGCUUGAAACAAAACUUUUUUCAACCAAAGUUUGUGUUUUAUUUCUUAAGCUAACCUUGAAAU
rnacentral:lncRNA from 1 species